rnacentral:snRNA from 1 species
AUACUUACCUGGCUAGGGAAAUACCGUGAUCACCAGGCCUCUAGUGGGUUAAGAGGUGGUUUUUCAGGGCGAGGCCUGUCCCUUGCAUCCUGGGCCUGUUGAUCCUUAUGAGUUUCCCCAAAUGCAGGGUAUUUGACUGCAGAAUUUUAUCGCAAUGUAGGACUGCUUUCUUGCUUUCCCCCU